rnacentral:misc_RNA from 1 species
UCCGGUUUGUCACCGGCAGUCUCAUUAGAGUGCCCAACUGAAUGUAGCAACUAAUGACAAGGGUUGCGCUCGUUGCGGGACUUAACCCAACAUCUCACGACACGAGCUGACGACAGCCAUGCAGCACCUGUGUUCAGGUUCCCUUUCGGGCACUUCCGCAUCUCUGCGGGAUUCCUGACAAGUCAGGGGUAGGUAAGGUUUUUCGCGUUGCAUCGAAUUAAUCCACAUAAUCCACCGCUUGUGCGGGUCCCCGUCAAUUCCUUUGAGUUUUAACCUUGCGGCCGUACUCCCCAGGCGGUCAACUUCACGCGUUAGCUACGGUACCAGGAGAUCGCUCCCCCAACACCCAGUUGACAUCGUUUAGGGCGUGGACUAC